rnacentral:rRNA from 1 species
UACGUAGGGUGCGAGCGUUGUCCGGAAUUAUUGGGCGUAAAGAGCUCGUAGGCGGUGUGUCACGUCGGCCGUGAAAACCUGCAGCUUAACUGUGGGCGUGCGGUCGAUACGGGCAUCACUGGAGUUCGGCAGGGGAGACUGGAAUUCCUGGUGUAGCGGUGAAAUGCGCAGAUAUCGGAAGGAACAUCAGUGGCGAAAGCGACUUCCUGGACCAAUACUGACGCUCAUGUGCGAAAGCGUGGGGAGCAAACAGG